rnacentral:rRNA from 1 species
CGGAGUGGACGCACCACUGGUGUUCGGGUUGUCAUGCCAAUGGCAUUGCCCGGUAGCUAAGUGCGGAAGAGAUAACCGCUGAAAGCAUCUAAGCGGGAAACUUGCCUUGAGAUGAGUCUUCCCUGACCCUUAAAGGGUCCUAAAGGAACGUUUAAGACUAAGACGUUGAUAGGUUGGGUGUGUAAGCGUAGCGAUACGUUGAGCUAACCAAUACUAAUGAACCGUGAGGCUUAACCUG